GACGAACGCUGGCGGCGUGCUUAACACAUGCAAGUCGAACGGAAAGGCCCUGCUUGCAGGGUAUUCGAGUGGCGAACGGGUGAGUAACACGUGGGUGAUCUGCCCUUCACUUCGGGAUAAGCCUGGGAAACUGGGUCUAAUUCCGGAUAGGUGCCAUUUUUAGUGUGAUGGUUGGAAAGUUUUUUCGGUGUAGGAUGAGCUCGCGACCUAUCGGCUUGUUGGUGGGGUAAUGGCCUACCAAGGCGGCGACGGGUAGCCGGCCUGAGAGUGUUGACGGCCACCUUGGGACUGAGAUACGGCCCACACUCCUACCGGAGGCCGCAGUGGGGAAUCUUGCACCAUGGGCGCAAGCCUGAUGCGGCGACGCCCCGUGGGGGAUGACGGCCUUCUGGUUGUAAGUUCCUUUCGCUAGGGACGAAGCUUUUUGUGACGGUACCUAGAUACGACGCACCGGCUAACUACGUG
rnacentral:rRNA from 1 species